rnacentral:rRNA from 1 species
AUUGAACGCUGGCGGCAUGCCUUACACAUGCAAGUCGAACGGUAACGCGGGGCAACCUGGCGACGAGUGGCGAACGGGUGAGUAAUGCAUCGGAACGUGCCUGGUAGUGGGGGAUAACUGCUCGAAAGAGCAGCUAAUACCGCAUACGACCUGAGGGUGAAAGGGGGGGAUCGCAAGACCUCUCGCUAUCAGAGCGGCCGAUGUCGGAUUAGCUAGUUGGUGGGGUAUAGGCCCACCAAGGCAACGAUCCGUAGCUGGUCUGAGAGGACGACCAGCCACACUGGGACUGAGACACGGCCCAGACUCCUACGGGAGGCAGCAGUGGGGAAUGUUGGACAAUGGGCGCAAGCCUGAUCCAGCAAUGCCGCGUGCAGGAAGAAGGCCUUCGGGUUGUAAACUGCUUUUGUACGGAACGAAACGGUCCUGGUUAAUACCUGGGGCUAAUGACGGUACCGUAAGAAUAAGCACCGGCUAACUACGUGCCAGCAGCCGCCGUAAUAC